rnacentral:lncRNA from 1 species
CCGGUGGCGGCCGCGGCCGCCAGGGGGCGCGCAGCUCCCGCCGCCCACCCAGAGCUGCCCCGCGCGCCGCGGCUCUGAGGGGCUCCGGGGGCUCCGCGCUCCCGCCGCAGCAGCGGGCACUUCCAGUGCAAUGUCCAGCAAGAAAAAGGCUGGAAAUUGCCCCUUAAAAGUGCUGCUUCAGAGCGACAGUGCUGUGCAGGGGAAGAGUGGGGAUGAAAGAACAAAAGGAAUGGAUGCUGGAUAGUUCCCAAAGAGAAUUGUUUCCUGGUUAUGUCAGGCUCACUUUUUACCUGAAUGUAUUCCUCAACCACAGCAUCAUAACAAACACAGAUCAUUGCAGGCAAGUUGGAGUGAGCCAUUUCAGAUUUUCAAAACAUGCUGCAGCUAGUGGAAAUCUUGGGGUAAGCAGUGCUUCAAACAUUCUAUCAACAGAUUACAGCAAAAAGGCUCCUUUUCUAGAAAACCAUUCUUCAAAAGAGCAGAGUGCAGCAGCAUGCUUCAGCCUCCAGGAUUCACACCACUAGCUUUAGGAAGUUUUGGAGGGUUAAAACCUGCCAUGGUAAUGGAAGUAAAAGCAAUCAGAUAAAGGAGAGUGUCUGCCCUCGCCCGCAUACUGUGAGAAGUAUUUGAGCCUGCUUCAGGCAACAGUGCUUGGAUUCAGCUUGUUGAAAGCACUUGGCCAAAGACCAUCCCACACCUGCACUGUGAAGGCCACAAAGUCUCGCCAGGGGAAUGAUGGGACAC